rnacentral:rRNA from 1 species
ACUCCUGCGGGAGGCAGCAGUGAGGAAUAUUGGACAAUGGGUGGAAGCCUGAUCCAGCCAUCCCGCGUGCAGGAAGACGGCCCUAUGGGUUGUAAACUGCUUUUAUCUGGGGAUAAACCUACUUACGUGUAAGUAGCUGAAGGUACCAGAAGAAUAAGCACCGGCUAACUCCGUGCCAGCAGCCGCGGUAAUACGGAGGGUGCAAGCGUUAUCCGGAUUUAUUGGGUUUAAAGGGUCCGUAGGCGGACUGAUAAGUCAGUGGUGAAAUCCGACAGCUUAACUGUCGAACUGCCAUUGAUACUGUUAGUCUUGAGUAAGGUUGAAGUGGCUGGAAUAAGUAGUGUAGCGGUGAAAUGCAUAGAUAUUACUUAGAACACCAAUUGCGAAGGCAGGUCACUAAGUCUUAACUGACGCUGAUGGACGAAAGCGUGGGGAGCGAACAGGAUUAGAAACCCGUGUAGUCCCA